rnacentral:rRNA from 1 species
GGGCGUAAAGGGCUCGUAGGUGGUUGAUCGCGUCGGAAGUGUAAUCUUGGGGCUUAACCCUGAGCGUGCUUUCGAUACGGGUUGACUUGAGGAAGGUAGGGGAGAAUGGAAUUCCUGGUGGAGCGGUGGAAUGCGCAGAUAUCAGGAGGAACACCAGUGGCGAAGGCGGUUCUCUGGGCCUUUCCUGACGCUGAGGAGCGAAAGCGUGGGGAGCGAACAGGCUUAGAUACCCUGUAGUCCACGCUGUAAACGGUGGGUACUAGGUGUGGGGUCCAUUCCACGGGUUCCGUGCCGUAGCUAACGCUUUAAGUACCCCGCCUGGGGAGUACGGCCGCAAGGCUAAAACUCAAAGGAAUUGACGGGGCCCCGCACAAGCGGCGGAGCAUGCGGAUUAAUUCGAUGCAACGCGUAGAACCUUACCUGGGUUUGACAUGGAUCGGGAGUGCUCAGAGAUGGGUGUGCCUCUUUUGGGGUCGGUUCACAGGUGGUGCAUGGCUGUCGUCAGCUCGUGUCGUGAGAUGUUGGGUUAAGUCCCGCAACGAGCGCAACCCUUGUUCACUGUUGCCAGCACGUUAUGGUGGGGACUCAGUGGAGACCGCCGGGGUCAACUCGGAGGAAGGU